GAGGGUGUAGCUCAGUGGUUGAGCAUAUGCUUAGCAUGCACGAGGUCCUGAGUUCAAUCCCCAGUACCUCCU
rnacentral:tRNA from 1 species